CAUACACAUAUAUGUCACAACAAAUAACAAGAGAGAGGAGGAGCAGCUAGGCCCUUGUAGUUCCGUUCUCCUUUCUCAAUCAAGCCUGCUCACGUGGCCUCCUUUUUUUCAGCUCAAGUUGCAUCUCCAGCUUGACCAGGCCCAGUGCCUUUUCAUCAUGCCACACAAGCCCAGACGGCCAUCUCGUCUUCUUCGUCUCGAUCUCCCAAGCAGAGCAUCUCCCAGCCGCCUCUAUCUCUUGCGACCAAACUCCAACUGAGCAGCACCAAACCUUCUCAAAUCCGGAUAAAAUGGAAUCCCAAAAUCUUAGCCAACCGGAAUCCCGAGCUAUCCCCAACCGAUUUGAUUCCAGCUGGCCUUAAAUCCCAACAGAUUUGGAGCUUUAUCUGGAGGGAGUCACUGCCUAUAUAGAGGGGGCCAGAUCGGAGAGCUAGAGGGAGGGAGAAAGAGAAAGAGAGAGAGAGAGAGAGAGGGAGAGAGAGAGAGAGGGGGGAGUUUUGCUGCGCCGAAACCGUGCCGCCAGGUGUGUUUGCCGAGCAGCUGUGCCUUCCCUUCCCUGCUAGCAAGCUUCGCCAUCGGCAAGGAGAAAUCGACAGAAUCCCCUGACGCUUCUACUGCAUCCACACCCCCUAGGACGCGUCUCCGAUCCGUCGCCAUCAUCACCAUGUCUGCGCCCCGAGCCUUGCAGACUCGGAUACGACCUCGGUAUGACGACCGCCAGCGCACUUAAUCGGAGGUAGCCCGAAGACGGGCGUAAUUAACCGGAGAGAUUCACGAAGCCCCAGGAACCAAGACAAAGCAAUCGCCAGAUCGUGAAGAUAGUCAGAUAGCGUGUGCGUUGUGGAGUAAAAAUGUAUAUGAGAAACUGUACUUUAUGAUUUCGACAUGAAUGAAUAAAGUUACAUGUUUUCGAUUA